rnacentral:rRNA from 1 species
AACGAACGCUGGCGGCAUGCCUAACACAUGCAAGUCGAACGAGAUCUUCGGGUCUAGUGGCGCACGGGUGGGUAACGCGUGGGAAUCUGCCCUUUGGUUCGGAAUAACAGUUGGAAACGACUGCUAAUACCGGAUGAUGACGAAAGUCCAAAGAUUUAUCGACAGAGGAUGAGCCCGCGUAGGAUUAGCUAGUUGGGGUGGUAAAGGCGCACCAAGGCGACGAUCCUUAGCUGGUCUGAGAGGAUGAUCAGCCACACUGGGACUGAGACACGGCCCAGACUCCUACGGGAGGCAGCAGUGGGGAAUAUUGGACAAUGGGCGAAAGCCUGAUCCAGCAAUGCCGCGUGAGUGAUGAAGGCCUUAGGGUUGUAAAGCUCUUUUACCCGGGAUGAUAAUGACAGUACCGGGAGAAUAAGCUCCGGCUAACUCCGUGCCAGCCGCCGCCGUAA